rnacentral:rRNA from 1 species
CAGUAGCCGCGGGAAUACGGAGGAUCCAAGCGUUAUCCGGAAUCAUUGGGUUUAAAGGGUCCGUAGGCGGUCUUGUAAGUCAGUGGUGAAAGCCCAUCGCUCAACGGUGGAACGGCCAUUGAUACUGCAGGACUUGAAUUAUUGGGAAGUAACUAGAAUAUGUAGUGUAGCGGUGAAAUGCUUAGAGAUUACAUGGAAUACCAAUUGCGAAGGCAGGUUACUACCAAUUGAUUGACGCUAAUGGACGAAAGCGUGGGUAGCGAACAGGAUUAGAUACCCGAGUAGUCCCUGUCUCUUAUAC